GACGAACGCUGGCGGCGUGCUUAACACAUGCAAGUCGAACGGAAAGGCCCUGCUUUUGUGGGGUGCUCGAGUGGCGAACGGGUGAGUAACACGUGAGUAACCUGCCCCUGACUUUGGGAUAACUUCAGGAAACUGGGGCUAAUACCGGCUAGGAGCUCCUGCUGCAGGGUGGGGGUUGGAAAGUUUCGGCGGUUGGGGAUGGACUCGCGGCUUAUCAGCUUGUUGGUUGGGUAGUGGAUUAGCAAGGCUUGGAGGGGUUGCCGACCUGAGAGGGUGAGCGGCCCCGUUAGGAUUGGAAUGAGGCCCAGACUAGUACGGGACGCAACAGAGGAGAAUAGUGCACAGUGGGCGGAAGCCUGAUGCAGUAACGCCGCGUGGGGGAUGACGGCAUGCGGGUUGUGAUCCGCUUUCGCCUGUGCCGAAGCGUGAGUGACGGUAAUGGGUAAAGAAGCACCGGCUAACUACGUG
rnacentral:rRNA from 1 species